rnacentral:tRNA from 1 species
GGGGCGUUAGCUCAGUUGGUAGAGCACCUGACUUUUAAUCAGGUGGUCGGAGGUUCGAUCCCCCCACGCCUCACCA